AUUGAACGCUGGCGGCAUGCCUUACACAUGCAAGUCGAACGGUAACAGGUCUUCGGAUGCUGACGAGUGGCGAACGGGUGAGUAAUACAUCGGAACGUGCCUAGUAGUGGGGGAUAACUACUCGAAAGAGUGGCUAAUACCGCAUGAGAUCCACGGAUGAAAGCAGGGGAUCGCAAGACCUUGUGCUACUAGAGCGGCCGAUGGCAGAUUAGGUAGUUGGUGGGAUAAAAGCUUACCAAGCCGACGAUCUGUAGCUGGUCUGAGAGGACGAUCAGCCACACUGGGACUGAGACACGGCCCAGACUCCUACGGGAGGCAGCAGUGGGGAAUUUUGGAAAAUGGGCGCAAGCCUGAUCCAGCAAUGCCGCGUGCAGGAUGAAGGCCUUCGGGUUGUAAACUGCUUUUGUACGGAACGAAAAGCCCUGGGUUAAUACCCUGGGGUCAUGACGGUACCGUAAGAAUAAGCACCGGCUAACUACGUGCCAGCCGCCGCUGUAAUAC
rnacentral:rRNA from 1 species